rnacentral:rRNA from 1 species
UGCGUAGGUGGCGCCGUAAGUCGGGUGUGAAAUUUCGGAGCUUAACUCCGAAACUGCAUUCGAUACUGCGGUGCUUGAGGACUGGAGAGGAGACUGGAAUUCAUGGUGUAGCAGUGAAAUGCGUAGAGAUCAUGAGGAAGACCAGUGGCGAAGGCGGGUCUCUGGACAGUUCCUGACACUGAGGCACAAGGGCCAGGGGAAGGCAAACG